rnacentral:lncRNA from 1 species
AAAACCAUGAAGAUCCACGCCGGGCUAAUGCUAUCGCUUACGAGGAAAGUGACACAGACAUGGACGCAUACAAAAAAGCCCGCUACAACCUCCGACGACACAUCAAACAUGCGAAAGGACAAUUUAGGAGGAAGGUGGAAUCCUAUUCAAAUAAAAAUGCAAUCAGCAGAGAGGGACAGCGGUCGAGGAGCUGCGAAGAGUCAGAUGUCCAUCCGUGGAGAGGUUCACGGUCGAACGGCGCCUUGAAGAGUGACCUGGAGGAACCUUGUGCCGGCCAGCGAGUGCUGUCACACAAACACCUCUCACUGAUAAGGCCUCUACUGGGGCGCUCUGCACACAUUUCCUCUGGAUGUAUUUCUGAUGUCGUUGACCACAGCAGAGAGAGCUCCACACAGAAGGAAAAGAGGGAGGUUGAAAAAUAUCAUAUGGAUGACUUUGCUAAAUUGCAGAAGCUGUCAGUGGAUUCAGCUGAUAUAAGGAGAAGAUCUUUCAUUUCAAUAUGUUUCAUUUAAAUGUCUAUUGUAUCUGUUCCGCUCAUCAGUAUUGUGUGUGUGUGUGUGUCUAUACUCAUUCCUUAGCACACUUUUUUACCUUUAUAACCCAGAACAUUAUG